GUAUAUGGCCCAUAAAGGCCCAGCUCUGAUGUUUUAUGAGUAAGUCGACCAAACUCUCCCGUUUUGCCGUUUUGUAGAUUAGGUUUUCAUGUUUCUCCUUCAAUCUGCCGUAUGCAACACAUGUGUCUCUGAACUCUUUACCUUCCAACUCUGUUCAUAUCCAUCUAAUCGUUUACUUUGCUCUGUUCAUAUUACCUUUAAAUUUGCCAAUAAAUGUUUUCCCAUUAAAGCCAUAAACACUCUCGAUCUCUCCGUCUCCUCUCACAUACAAUUAUAACCCGAAAAUCACUUCAACCCCUAUAAAUUGGAGAUUGGAGAGAGUAGGAUGAAUCUUCACCGCAUGUCUCAGUUCCUCUUUAAUCUUCAAAAAUGUCUUUGUCUGAUGUUGUUGUUCACGAACCAGUCCGCCACUCAACCUUCGACACGAUAGAUCUUCCUAAUUCAUUGUCGCUCGGCUCCUCCGUUUUUGGGACUUCCGCAGCAUCAAGAAGGACGGAGAAUUCAUGGGAAUCACUCUACUUCUCCUUGAUGAGAAGGAGUCAAUGAUCAUAUAUGUGCCUCAACUCGACCCCAGCAACCAAUUAUUUUUUUUUUGACACCAGCCUCCCAGCCAUCACAGAGUUCGCUUAAGAGGUGCAGUAGGGGUGGAUUUCUCCUGUAUUGAUAGCAAUGAAGGGAUUAAACAAAAAAAAAGAACUUGUCUCAAUUGGAGAUGUCAGCAAAUUCAUCGCCAACUCAAACGAGCAGACACAAGAAGCGGGAUUUAUUUGCAAAGCUCGGAUUGUCGAGGUCAUGCAACAAAAUGGAUGGUCUUUUAUCUUGCAUUGGACGCAGCAGGAAGCUAGAGAAAUCUGGCAGCUCUUUUCUUUGCAGCCGAUGUGUUAAUCCCAACGUCACCGGUGUGAUCAGGUGCGAAGAUUUCAAGCUCAUGGAUAUUUGAUGAUGGGAAUGAUAGUACGACUUUUGUGGUGUUCGAAUGCUUAAUCUUACCAAGAAAGAUGCAGCUUCUCUGGCUCUUGAUGAGGGUGAAUGGUGGUGGCGGCCAAGAACUCCGUGAAUGUCUUAAAGAACUUGCUGGGAAGGAUUUUGUUUUCAAGAUACAUGUAACGCCAUACAAUUUCACCCCAAUCACCACACCUUCCCCGUUUCUGCAAUCAGCCCGUGAUUUUCAACACCACUGAAGGGAAAGGCGCUUUUGCUUGUGCCAGCAACAUGGCUGCAGCUGGUGGCAAAGAAUGUGGACACAAACGCUCCCGAUGAGUGAGUUUCAAAGCUGUCAAACCGUCAACCCCACAUAGCUUUCGUCAUUUUACAAUUUCCUAAAUUAAUAUGCUUUACCUAUUUUGGACUUUUGCAAUGUUUUUUUGCAUUUCCAGCUUUCGUUUUUUUUUGUCCAGCCAAUUACGGCAUAGCAACUCCUGUGAGGACUUUUGCAAUGUUUUCGUAAUUCCAGGUUUCGUUUUUUUUUUGUCCAGCCAAUUACGGCAUAGUAACUCUUAUGAGGAGAACAUUUUCUAAGUUUCAAUAUUAAAAAGUCAGGGUCGACGUAA